UACAGAGGUCUCAAGCGUUGUUCGGAUUCAUUGGGCGUAAAGGGUGCGUAGGUGGUGACGCAAGUCUGGUGUGAAAUCUCGGAGCUCAACUCCGAAAUUGCACCGGAUACUGCGUGACUCGAGGACUGUAGAGGAGAUCGGAAUUCACGGUGUAGCAGUGAAAUGCGUAGAUAUCGUGAGGAAGACCAGUUGCGAAGGCGGAUCUCUGGGCAGUUCCUGACACUGAGGCACGAAGGCCAGGGGAGCAAACGGG
rnacentral:rRNA from 3 species